GACGUAGGGGGCGAGCGUUGUCCGGAUUUACUGGGCGUAAAGCGCGCGUAGGCGGUCUGUUAAGUGUAGAGUGAAAGCUCCGGGCUCAACUCGGAAACUGCUCUGCAUACUGGCAGGCUGGAGGGACGCAGAGGUCUGUGGAAUUCCUGGUGUAACGGUGAAAUGUGUUGAUAUCAGGAGGAACACCCAUGGCGAAGGCAGCAGACUGGGCGUUUCCUGACGCUGAGGCGCGAAAGCGUGGGUAGCAAACAGGAUUAGAAACCCCCGUAGUCC
rnacentral:rRNA from 1 species